UACGUAGGGUGCAAGCGUUGUCCGGAUUUAUUGGGUUUAAAGGGUGCGUAGGUGGCCCUGUAAGUCAGUGGUGAAAUAUCUCAGCUUAACUGAGAGGGUGCCAUUGAUACUGCAGGGCUUGAGUACAGAUGAGGUAGGCGGAAUUGACGGUGUAGCGGUGAAAUGCAUAGAUAUCGUCAAGAACACCGAUAGCGAAGGCAGCUUACCAAGCUGUAACUGACACUGAGGCACGAAAGUGUGGGGAUCAAACAGG
rnacentral:rRNA from 1 species